AAGUCGUAACAAGGUUUCCGUAGGUGAACCUGCGGAAGGAUCAUUAUCGUGGGGCUUCGGCCCUCUCGAGAUAGAACCCUUGCCUUUUUGAGUACCUUUCGUUUCCUCGGCGGGCUCGCCCGCCAAUGGGGACCGCAAUAAACCCUUUGUAAUACCUGUAAUCGUCUGACAAAACAAACAAAAAUUAAAACUUUCAACAACGGAUCUCUUGGUUCUG
rnacentral:misc_RNA from 1 species